rnacentral:lncRNA from 1 species
CCAGGCCGGACCGAAAUUAUCUGGGCGGUGCCCGGGAAGUCAGGGGGCUGGCCGAGGUCCCUCCUCCUGCGGGGCCGCGCUGGGCCUGUCGGAAGCGAGUCCCUCUCUGUACAGAAACUGGGAGGGAGCUGGUGCAGCCAGGGCCCCUCCUGCUGCAGAGCGCGGCUGGGUGUGAUCUAGUUUGAGGUUGUUAACGCCACCUACCCCGGGGGCUCUCUGUGCAGGAGGUGGUAGCCUAGGCCUCCCGGCAGCAGAACCAGGCAAGUGAGGCUUCCUUUACCCAGAGGCCACCCCAGCCUCAGAACUUGGACGCGUUUUCUUCCACUGCAAUUCUCAGAGGACUCGGGUGCUCUAUUUGCCUGAAGAAUAUGAGGUCUCUGUGAGAGAGAUUGGGACCCACCACGAAGGUGAUGACCAGAAGAGAGUGUCUGCAGAAUUAAGCUCAGAAAAGGAGUUCUCAGACCUCGCUGCAUUGGAAUCAGCAGAGUGCUCGAAAGAGACUCUUGGAAGUGGGAGAACAGUGGAAAGCUGCCUCUGGUGCCUUUGUGGCUCCAGCAGUUGCAGGUGCUGA